UACGUAGGGGGCUAGCGUUGUCCGGAAUCAUUGGGCGUAAAGCGCGCGUAGGCGGCCCGGUAAGUCCGCUGUGAAAUCUCGAGGCUCAACUUCGAGCUGUCGGUGGAAACUGUCUGGCUAGAGUCCGGAAGAGGAGAAUGGAAUUCCUGGUGUAGCGGUGAAAUGCGCAGAUAUCAGGAAGAACACCCGUGGCGAAGGCGGUUCUCUGGGACGGUACUGACGCUGAGACGCGAAAGCGUGGGGAGCGAACAGG
rnacentral:rRNA from 1 species